UAGAGGAAGUAAAAGUCGUAACAAGGUUUCCGUAGGUGAACCUGCGGAAGGAUCAUUAUUGAAUGAACUUGGUGUGGUUGUUGCUGGCUCUUUCGAGGGCAUGUGCACGCCCACCAUCCUCAUCUCUCCACCUGUGCACCUCUUGUAGACUUGGAUUGACUUUCCGAGGCAACUCGGUCGGGAGGAUUGCCGGCGCCAGCUGGCUUUCUUUGCAUUUCCAGGUCUACGUUUUUCAUAUACCCCAUUGUAUGUAACAGAAUGUAACAUUGGGCACUUGUGCCUAUAAACUUUAUACAACUUUCAGCAACGGAUCUCUUGGCUCUCGCAUCGAUGAAGAACGCAGCGAAAUGCGAUAAGUAAUGUGAAUUGCAGAAUUCAGUGAAUCAUCGAAUCUUUGAACGCACCUUGCGCUCCUUGGUAUUCCGAGGAGCAUGCCUGUUUGAGUGUCAUUAAAUUCUCAACCUUUAUCAACUUKUGUUGAUAAUGGCUUGGAUAUGGGGGUUUAUUUUGCUGGCUUCUUUACAGAUGGUCAGCUCCCCUUAAAUGCAUUAGCCGGUGCCCCGCGUGGACUGUCUAUUGGUGUGAUAAUUAUCUACGCCGUGGACAUCUGCAAUCAUAUGGGUUUGCACUGCUUCCAACUGUCUGUUGAAUCAGACAAUACAUGACAAUUUGACCUCAAAUCAGGUAGGACUACCCGCUGAACUUAAGCAUAUCAAUA
rnacentral:rRNA from 1 species